rnacentral:rRNA from 1 species
CACCGCGGUUAUACGAGAGGUCCAAGUUAAUAAUUGACGGCGUAAAGAGUGGUUAGAAAGACUUGAAAUUAAAGCCGAAUCCCUUCUAAAUUGUUAUAUGUUCAUUGAAGGUGAGAAGUCCAGCUACGAAAGUGGCUUUAUACUUUUGAAUCCACGAAAGCUAAGGCA